CAGCUUUCGGUGAUGCUGAUUGGUCAGUCGAAUUGGUGAGGAUUAUCGAUUGCGUGGCGGACUGAAAACACUUUAGCGAAAGUGUAGCGAUUUUAAGGAAACCAGGCUUCACCGAAAGCUGUCGGCAAUAGUGUGUAGCGAUUGUAUGGAAACUUUACUUAAUUAUGAUGUGUAUUAGCACAUGUGACACCGAAGCAGUAUCAGUGCAUUUCAUCGUGUAGAAUCGGGUGUCAGUUGGUUUUCUAGUUGUUAAUGUGACAGACAGGCAUUGUGUUUUGAUAAAUAAAUCUCAUCUUAAAAGUAUUGAAUUGAUGGAAUAACCACAUUUUGAUUUUUUUUUAAUUGGUUAGCCAUCAUUUGUCAACUGUGGAAGUCCAUAUAGUUCACAAGAUGGGGAUUAUCGGUCAAUAAUUUCAACGCAAGAGCAAGUUUGGACAAAUAGUGUUGCUGAACAGACUAAUAAUAGUUGGCGACUGCGUUGACUAGUUCAGAACAUCAAGGCAGUGUUUCUUUAUCUUGGUCGUGUUGGUCGUUGACGGUCUGAGCAUGGUGCAAUCUUUAAUCAGUAGAAUAUACUGUAGUUGCUGAAACCCAUGCUGAGGACCCGUUGCUCAUUACAAACCAGUUGUUGCUGGUUGAUCGAGGUCGGUGUAAAUGAAAUUGUAGAUUUACAGUGCCGCCGUACAUUGCUGAGCAUCGCUGACUACAAUCAUUGAUCUUCUUUGUCGUCGGUGAAAGUAAUGGAAUUGAGAAAAAGUGGUCCGGCCAUAGCCGGUGCGGUCGGUCCUGUGGUUAUCCGUCCUUGAAAGUAUGGCAAGUAAUGGGCUAACCGGAUUAGGUCAUUAGGUACAGACCAAUCAGAAGCAAAUGCUCAUUUUUUGAAGUAUUGUAUUAGUACUGUAAAGCUUCAUACACAGUUUACAUACUACAGAAUUUAUCAGCACUAUCAAAUAAAUGGUUUUCAAUCCAUUGAAAGAAAGUCAUGUUUUGCAAUAUAUUGUUUGUGGUAGACACUGGGAAAAAACCAACUAUUGAAUGUGUAUUUAUUUGUCUUCUGGUACAAAACUGAUGGAAGAGCAGCCAUGAUGAAGCAGUAAAAAUGUUCUUAGAUACCUUGCUUCAAUACCUCUGGUUGGACAAGAAAAGACCUGGCUAAGGAUAGUAGAGGGUCAAAUAAUUUAUCACCAAGAAAAUUACUGAUUUAAACAUAAGCCUGUAACGCGAAAGAUUCUUAAUUAUGCUAAGUGUGCAAUAUUAGGUCAGUUAAGUUAUACCGCCAUGGUUAAGACGACAGUAAUGCAUGAUAGGUAUAUUUUGAAAUCUACACAUAGUAGCUGUUUUUAUAAUUAUUACAAAAACUCUGAUUUAAACAUGCCUGUAUAGCUACGAUACAUAAUAUUUAAUGUUUUUUGCAAGUUUCAAUUAAAGAAAAAUGGUCAAGUAUAUUUUAAACUCAGUGCAUUUUGUAAGUUUAAAAGAAUAAACAUUGACUUUGACUCAACAUUAAAAAUUUACAUUGAAUUAACAUUGAACAUAUUACAUUGAAUCGACGUUGAAAUUUACGUUGAUGAAAACUUUCAUUCACAACCAAAAUUCAAAGUUGAUUCAACAUUGAUCAUUUGAUGUUAUUAUAACGUUAAAUAAUUGAGGUUGAAACAACUUUAGACAAUUUACGUUGAAUCAACGUUGAAAUUUACGUUGAUGAAAACUUUCAUAUACAACCAAAAUUCAACGUUGAUUCAACAUUGGUUAUUUGACGUUGUUCCAAAGUUAAAAAAUUAGCAUUGAAAAAACCUUAGACAUUUUACGUUGAAUCAGCGUUGAGAUUUACGUUGAUGCAAACUUUCAUAUACAACAAAAAUUCAAUAGAUUCAAUGUUUGCAUAUUACGUUGAAUCAACGUUAUUUCAACCAAGUUGUGCCCACUGGGAUUUGAUCAUAGCAUAAUUACUUUACCCUCACAAUUACACACCAUUUAAAUUCUUAACAUAAUUGCCAUAUUCACAUAACUAUGUAUAUAAUAUAGUAUCUCAGUUUACAUUAUUUAGUAUAGUUUUAGGCACUUA
rnacentral:misc_RNA from 1 species